rnacentral:other from 1 species
GCGGGGCUGCCUGGUGCGUAGGAGACAACACCUCGGGGCCUUACGAUCCUAACGGGAGCUGUCCCUGGCCUUGCCCCUGGGUUUGGUCACAUGGCGCCCACCUACUUAUGUAGGUUCCCGGGAUCAGCGCUCUUACGGCCGGCGCGGCUCCGCA